GGCCGCGGGAAUUCGAUUGAGUUUGAUCCUGGCUCAGGAUGAACGCUGGCGGCGUGCUUAACACAUGCAAGUCGAACGAAGCACCUGAGAAUGAUUCUUCGGAUGAAGUCUCUUGUGACUGAGUGGCGGACGGGUGAGUAACGCGUGGGUAACCUGCCUCACACAGGGGGAUAACAGUUGGAAACGACCGCUAAUACCGCAUAACCCGCUGGUGCCGCAUGGCACUGACGGAAAAGAUUUAUCGGUGUGAGAUGGACCCGCGUCUGAUUAGCCAGUUGGCAGGGUAACGGCCUACCAAAGCGACGAUCAGUAGCCGGCCUGAGAGGGUGAACGGCCACAUUGGGACUGAGACACGGCCCAGACUCCUGCGGGAGGCAGCAGUGGGGAAUAUUGCACAAUGGGGGAAACCCUGAUGCAGCGACGCCGCGUGAGUGAAGAAGUAUUUCGGUAUGUAAAGCUCUAUCAGCAGGGAAGAAAAUGACGGUACCUGAUUAAGAAGCCCCGGCUAACUACGUGCCAGCAGCCGCGGUAAUACGUAGGGGGCAAGCGUUAUCCGGAUUUACUGGGUGUAAAGGGAGCGUAGACCGUGAUGCAAGUCCAAAAUGAAAGCCCGGGGCUCAACUCCGGGACUGCUUUUGAAACUGUGUGACUGGAUUGCAGGAAAGUUAACCGGAAUUCCUGUGGAGCCGUGAAAUGCGUAGAUAUCCGGAAGAAACACAGUGGCCAAAGGCGGCUACUGGCCUUAAACUGACCUGAAGCUCGAAAGCCUGGGAAACCCACAGGAAAAAAUCCUUGGUAUUCCACGCCGUAACAAAU
rnacentral:rRNA from 1 species